GUAUACAGGUUCUUAAAUAGCAGAAAAAAUUUAGGCUGUUUAUAGGCUAUUUUAGGUCCAAUAACUGCCACUAAAAUGUUAUUUUUAAAAUGUCAUUAAAACAGGGAUACAGCUUUGGAAUGACUGACAAUGCCAGGGAGGUAGUACAAACUCAAUCAGAUCCUCACAAAGGGGAACACUCACUAUGUUUGGAGUGUGUCAUCCCCUGAAAGAUGGCCAACAAGUAAUAUUGAUUUGGGGAGAAAGGGGAGUUUACAUUUUCUCAUCCCAAGUCAUAAAGAAUUAUUAUUUACCAAUGUGUAGAUGGAAUCAUUGAUAUUUUAUAAUAUUAAAGUGUGUUCAGAAAGACAUAGGGAACUGUCUACACCAAUAGAUCACAGUCUUUCUUAGUAGAUAAGGUCAUAGUACCUUAGAGUCACAACUGGAAGAUCAUUUAGUCUAAUUCCCUCCUUUUUCAGAUAAUGAAUUAAGGAUAAGCAGGAAUUAGUGUAUUGCUCAAGGACAUAGGAGGACUUUUUGGUAUGUAAACUCAGGUUCCCUCAGUACAGUACUGUAGUGAGAUAUCAAAACACAUUGCUGAUAAGGGAAUUGUCUAAUUCAGCAGAAUAAUCAGCAGACAAGAAUGAAACCUAAGUAAAUGUUUGUAACUUCAAGCCCAGGACUUCAUCCAUUAAAACAUAAGUCCAAAAAUAUAGCACUUAGAAUUUGCUUAUAUUUAACAUAAUCCACCUUUUUUAGUCAUUUACUUUUAAUUAUACUAACAGCUUUUCAAAUGUCUAAUAUAUGGCAAAGCCUAUUUGAAACAAUAUAAAUUUGACUUCCCAAUACAAAUAAUAUUGGUCAAAUCAAAUCAGUGUCUGUUCCACCAGAUAAUUUCACACAUGCUUCUUGGAUGUCAGUCAAUAGUUAAUUUAUUGAUUGCUCUCCAUGUGCCAAGUCUUGGGCCAAGCAGUGGGGAUACAAAAAAGAACAAAGGACAGGCCUUCCCUAAAGGGGCUCACAAUCUCAUUGAGGAGACAACAGGCAAACAAAUAUGUGGCAAACAAACUAUAUACAGGAUAAAGGAGUAAUUGAGAGGGAAAGCGCUAGAAUUAAGAAGGAUUAAAAAAGGUUUUCUGUGAAAGGUGGGAAUUGUUUUGGGGCUUGGAGAAAACCCGGAAAUAGAAGUGAGAAGGGAAGAACUUUCCAGGCAUGAGAGAAACCAGAGAAAUUUCCUUGAGCCAUGAUGAUAGUCAUGUUCAGACUAUAGUCAGGAGACCAGUAUCACAAUAUGUAGAUAUUAUAAGGUAAGAAUAUACUAGAAAGGUAUAACUAAGUCAUGAAGGGCUUUGAAUGUCAGAGGAUUCUAUAUUUGUUCCUAUAAGUAACAAAGCUAUUAUAGUUUAUUAAGUGUGGAGUUGGAGUGUUGACAUGGUUGGACCUGUGGUUUUGGAAAGUCACUUUGGUUGACGGAAUGGACAGUAGAUUGAAGAAAGACUUAAGGUAGACAAAUCUACCAGCAAGCUAUUGCAGUAAUCUAAACCUGAGGUGAUGAGGACUUCCACCAAUAUGAUGACAGGAGGAAAGGGGAUAUAUUUGAGAGACCAAGUUGCAAAGGUCAAAUCAAUAGGCCUUGGCAACAGAUUAGAUAUGAUUAUUAACCUUGUCAGUUAUUACAAUGGUUGUCACUAAAUUUCUGGUGAUGGCAGCUUAAUGAAUGAAGAACUGAUCAUUAGUAUUAAAAAAUUUUUACUUUUUCUUAGUCACUUUUUGAAAAGUUCAAUUCUAAUCUUUCAAAACUGAUCUAAGAUUAAGAAGCAUGAUGAGUUUUAACAUGUAUUUGUAAAUUCUUCAUAUUGUUUUGUAAAUGAACCAUGAAAAAUCAUGUAUUCUACCCUUCUUGCCUUAGAAGAUGGAUAAAUAAAACUGUCCUUUUCGGAGAAAGCACC
ensembl:lncRNA